rnacentral:piRNA from 1 species
UGGUUUCUCACUCAGAGGAAC